UAAAGGUAUUCCGGUAGACGAUGGGGAUGCGUUCCAUUAGAUAGUAGGCGGGGUAACGGCCCACCUAGUCUUCGAUGGAUAGGGGUUCUGAGAGGAAGGUCCCCCACAUUGGAACUGAGACACGGUCCAAACUCCUACGGGAGGCAGCAGUGAGGAAUAUUGGUCAAUGGGCGAGAGCCUGAACCAGCCAAGUAGCGUGAAGGAUGACUGCCCUAUGGGUUGUAAACUUCUUUUAUAAAGGAAUAAAGUCGGGUAUGGAUACCCGUUUGCAUGUACUUUAUGAAUAAGGAUCGGCUAACUCCGUGCCAGCAGCCGCGGUAAUACGGAGGAUCCGAGCGUUAUCCGGAUUUAUUGGGUUUAAAGGGAGCGUAGAUGGAUGUUUAAGUCAGUUGUGAAAGUUUGCGGCUCAACCGUAAAAUUGCAGUUGAUACUGGAUAUCUUGAGUGCAGUUGAGGCAGGCGGAAUUCGUGGUGUAGCGGUGAAAUGCUUAGAUAUCACGAAGAACUCCGAUUGCGAAGGCAGCCUGCUAAGCUGCAACUGACAUUGAGGCUCGAAAGUGUGGGUAUCAAACAGGAUUAGAUACCCUGGUAGUCCACACGGUAAACGAUGAAUACUCG
rnacentral:rRNA from 1 species